rnacentral:rRNA from 1 species
UACGAAGGGGGCUAGCGUUGCUCGGAAUUACUGGGCGUAAAGCGCACGUAGGCGGCUUCUUAAGUCGGUGGUGAAAUCCUGGAGCUCAACUCCAGAACUGCCUUCGAUACUGGGAAGCUCGAGUCCGGGAGAGGUGAGUGGAACUGCGAGUGUAGAGGUGAAAUUCGUAGAUAUUCGCAAGAACACCAGUGGCGAAGGCGGCUCACUGGCCCGAUACUGACGCUGAGGCACGAAAGCGUGGGGAGCAA